rnacentral:rRNA from 1 species
CUUAUAUUGCAAGUCGAGCGAACAGAAGGGAGCUUGCUCCCGGAUGUUAGCGGCGGACGGGUGAGUAACACGUGGGUAACCUGCCUGUAAGACUGGGAUAACUCCGGGAAACCGGAGCUAAUACCGGAUAGUUCCUUGAACCGCAUGGUUCAAGGAUGAAAGACGGUUUCGGCUGUCACUUACAGAUGGACCCGCGGCGCAUUAGCUAGUUGGUGGGGUAAUGGCUCACCAAGGCGACGAUGCGUAGCCGACCUGAGAGGGUGAUCGGCCACACUGGGACUGAGACACGGCCCAGACUCCUACGGGAGGCAGCAGUAGGGAAUCUUCCGCAAUGGACGAAAGUCUGACGGAGCAACGCCGCGUGAGUGAUGAAGGUUUUCGGAUCGUAAAGCUCUGUUGUUAGGGAAGAACAAGUGCGAGAGUAACUGCUCGCACCUUGACGGUACCUAACCAGAAAGCCACGGCUAACUACGUGCCAGCAGCCGCGGUAAUACGUAGGUGGCAAGCGUUGUCCGGAAUUAUUGGGCGUAAAGGGCUCGCAGGCGGUUUCUUAAGUCUGAUGUGAAAGCCCCCGGCUCAACCGGGGAGGGUCAUUGGAAACUGGGAAACUUGAGUGCAGAAGAGGAGAGUGGAAUUCCACGUGUAGCGGUGAAAUGCGUAGAGAUGUGGAGGAACACCAGUGGCGAAGGCGACUCUCUGGUCUGUAACUGACGCUGAGGAGCGAAAGCGUGGGGAGCGAACAGGAUUAGAUACCCUGGUAGUCCACGCCGUAAACGAUGAGUGCUAAGUGUUAGGGGGUUUCCGCCCCUUAGUGCUGCAGCUAACGCAUUAAGCACUCCGCCUGGGGAGUACGGUCGCAAGACUGAAACUCAAAGGAAUUGACGGGGGCCCGCACAAGCGGUGGAGCAUGUGGUUUAAUUCGAAGCAACGCGAAGAACCUUACCAGGUCUUGACAUCCCUCUGACAACCCUAGAGAUAGGGCUUUUCCCUUCGGGGGACAGAGUGAACAGGUGGGUGCAUGGUUUGUCGUCCGCUUCGUGUCCUGGAGAUGUUGGGGUUAAGUUCCCGCAACGAAGCGCAACCCCUUGGAUCUUAGUUGGCCAGCCAUUCCAGUUGGGGCACUUCUAAAGUGGACUGCCCGGUGAACAAACCGGAAGGAAGGGGGGGGGAUGAACGUCCAAAUCAUCCAUGCCCCCUUAUGAACCUGGGCCUAACCACGGUGGCUACCAAGGGAACAGAACCGAAGGGGCUGCCAAGAACGGCCAGGGGUUUAAACCCAAUCCCCAUAAAAUUCUGGUUUUACAGUUUCCGGAAUCGCAAAUUUUGGCAAACCUCCGAACUGGCGUGGUAAA